rnacentral:rRNA from 1 species
UUUUUUUUAGAACGAAGGCUCAGGACGAGCCCGGCUUUGAAUUAAAAAAGCCAUCAACCGGCCAGGAUUACAACAAGCACCAAGUACAGAGACGAACACAGAAAACAGCUAAAAGGGUACAAGAGUGCUGUGCUAACAGCUAAUAGGCUUCCUACCAUCCACAAGCAAAGAUGCAGCAUCUAAAGAACAAGACCAGCUUGGAGACGUUGAAGCCCUCCACCGAGUGAGAUCCACCCCACCGAGACACCAUCUGACCUUGAGGAGACCCAGCUAGCAAGCGGGGGUGACGAUGGCAGCUCCAUGGGCUCCGGCCGAAGCGGCGACAACCUCCUACAUCUCCGAAAGGGGCUCCCUAGCCCCUCGCCUGGCACGAGGCGCUGAUCCGUCGGACGAUGAGAACGCUCUCCCAAGAGCAAAGGUGUACACCCGACGCCAUGGCCACACGAAAUGCCAUACCAGAGCACCAUCAACACGCGUCGCCGAGCUCAACGAAGGGCAACAUGGCACUGGGAGGGAACCAACACGCAAGGAGAAGCAAAAGCACGGUGGGGCUGCCGAUGACAGAGCAACAAUGGAGUGGAGCCACUGGACUGAACAUGGAGACGAAGCUGCCAAACGCCCACCAGCUCCAACCAUGUCGCCGCCAGACGCCCACCAACCAGAUCGGACUCACCACCGCCCCAAACUCACCGAAGGCGGCACCACCAUGGGGGUGACGGCGCCGCGAGCGUCGCUGCCGCCCAAUCCAAAGGGAUUUGGGUUUUCACCCCGGUAUACGAGCAGGGGAACGAGGCAGAGGGGGAAAGGGAUAACCUUGACGGCGCCUACAAGUAGGAGACGGCGCCCUCAGGCGUCGCCGUCGUCGUGGCCGGCAGAGCCAGCCAUGGAUUUCUCCGGGCUCCACGUCUUCCCCACCCCUAGCACAGACGCGGCGCCGGCAGCCUGGGCCAGCCGGAGACCAGAUCUGACAGGGGCCGAAAGGGUUGGAGACGGAGGCGUCAGAUCCGGGAUGGGCGCCCCCGCGGCCACCGCGCCCCACAGCCACCACCCGCCGCCGCCUUGCCACCCGCGCGGCCAAGGAGGACGGCCAGCACUAGCGACGGCCGCUUGCUGAGGUCGCCGUCGCUCCACCACCCGAGGCCGCCGCCGCCUCGGCUCCAAAGCCCCCUGCACGAGACAGGGCGGAACAGAUCCUCGCCACCACCCUUCCCGGGCGGACGCGCAGCACUCCGGCGACCCCCUCCGGUGGUGGCGAGGGAGAGGAGAGUGGGGGAGGGGAGGCUGGCGGCGGGCUAGGUUAUCACCGCCCGAGUCGCCCCUGCGGGAGCGACGCGGGGGCCGGGCCAGAGAGUUAAACUCGUGUGAUAUUUCUAGACCCCAUGUUCCACUGUCCUAUAUUUUAUUAAUUUUGUCUAACUAACUGUAUACAUCGACAUAAGUACGUAACAUGUUUAGCUUGCUAAUUAUAUUGGCCCACAUCUGAAUACCGACCACCAACAUAAUUACUAGCUAGCUGCCUAAUCAGAAAAUAUUCGCUCUAAAUCAACAAAUAUUUAACAGAUGCUAUGAUUAGUACAAAUUACACUAUCAUUAAUUAAUUGGCAAAUAAUAGCAUACGAACACCCUAAUUCUUGAACAUGUUAAUUCCAAUUUUUUUAUGGGUUGGUACAUAAUUAUGAUUAGCGCAAAGGGUGGACGUAGAGGGCACCCAAAUAAGGUGCCCUUGGUGUACGGCCCCUUCUAGGAUUGGGAAUUUUUU